rnacentral:rRNA from 1 species
CCUACGGGAGGCUGCAGUGAGGAAUAUUGGUCAAUGGACGCAAGUCUGAACCAGCCAUGCCGCGUGCAGGAAGACGGCUCUAUGGGUUGUAAACUGCUUUUGUACGAGGAUAAACUCAGAUACGCGUAUCUUUCUGAAAGUAUCUUACGAAUAAGGAUCGGCUAACUCCGUGCCAGCAGCCGCGGUAAUACGGAGGAUUCGAGCGUUAUCCGGAUUUAUUGGGUUUAAAGGGUGCGUAGGCGGGCUGAUAAGUUAGAGGUGAAAUCCCGAGGCUCAACUUCGGAAUUGCCUCUGAUACUGGUAGGCUAGAGAGUAGUUGCGGUAGGCGGAAUGCAUGGUGUAGCGGUGAAAUGCUUAGAGAUCACAAAGAACACCGAUUGCGAAGGCAGCUUACCAAGCUACGUCUGACGUUGAGGCACGAAAGUGUGGGGAGCAAACAGGAUUAGAUACCCGGGUAGUC